UUUGAGCAUUAGCUGCCCUCUCUCCUUGCUCAGUGCUGUGCAAAAAUAAAGUUCCUACUUUCUUCCACCACACCCUGUGUCAGAGAUUGGCUUGCUGCGCAACGGGUGAGCGAACUCCCUUCAGUUUCGGUAACAAUUUGGCGACCCUGAUGGGACAAUGUCCCAGGUGGACAUCUCGCCUGUGGCACACUGGCCACUGGCUAAAGGCCUCUCUUGGAAGCUGUCCUGCAGCUGCCUGAGCCCCUUGUCUCAGGGACAGCCCCAAGUGACUGGCUGCUAACCAGACGUCGUUGGCCCAUGGCGCUUUUGCUUUGGUGGUGGAAGAAACUAGGUUUAGGACAUAGGAAGAUGUCUAUUGUAAGUAGCUGGUAGUUUUUGUUUUUGUCUUUGUGUUAAACUUUUCCAACAGGACCGGCCGGAAAUAAUGGGUACCUUGGCAGCCCUCUGGGCUCUAUUUGUUUUGAAGUCGCCGUGACGCCCCGGCCAAAUUUUGAGUUAAGAAAACCUUUUUCUCUAUUCUCUUAAAGAACUAUGACUUACAGCAAUUUAUAAAAAAAAAAUUGAAGCAUUUGUCUUUUCCUCCCUAUCUGAGCCCCCCAAAAUGCAGAAACUUCUGAUAAGUAAGUAUUCUUGUUCUUAUGGCAAUAUAGUUGUUUGCAUAAGUACAAUAAGAAUCUGUUCUUCUUUUAACAGGACACAAUUGGAAACACUGGUUAUAUUACCAAGACUUUGACUGGAAUAUCAUAUUUUAAAAAAACAUACAGGCUUGGAUAUAACACGACAGCUUUUGAGGAAUGAAGGUUGACAUUCUGGAAUAAAGCCACUUGGAAAUAUUGGCCUGGUACUAUGCUUAUGGGUUCUGUAACCUGGUAAGGUUGAGCAAAGAAUGUCGCUCCCUCUGGCAGGAAUACAAGGAACCUCAGUAUUUUGGGGAACCUCACAAAGACAGGGAUUUGCCCAAAUCUGCAGGUACUGCAGACAGAAUCUGAUAACAGGUCCUUUGCUUGGCUUUCCUUGAGAGGCCUUUAAAGAUCACCCUGAGAUUCCUUAUAAGGUUCCAGCAAAGCAGAUUUAAAAGAGCCUAUGUGAUCAAUUACUAUUCUUGCUGUACUCAUGUAAAUAAUUAUGCCAAGUUUAUUAAAACUAGACAUUUUGCAAACCAGUUAGUCUUAAUUUGGCUAUGUCUUGUGAAAUUGAGGGUAAUUUUAGGGAGGAAGAUUAUGUUUCAAUAGAAACUAAUACAUGAUUAUAAAUAUUGGAUUUUAGUUUUCUCAAUUCUCUUUGAAAUUUUUGAAAUUUCUGUUAACUGGACUGGAUCUUGAAUUCUUCGUCUCCUGAAAUAUCUGGCUAAAAACUUCCAAACUAACAUUUUUAGGCUUUUUCCCCAUUAUUUUCACUUAGAGUCAUUGAAAAUGGAAUCUGCCCUUUUUCCUAAAGCCUUAUAAACUGAAGCUGGAAGACCCAAUAUAAACUUAAGCGAGAUUCAUGUCUACUGCUGUGUACGCCACUCAAAAAUCUACCUGAGUUCCAGAUGACACCAUCAGAGACAUUUCAAACUACAAAAGAUGCUUUGACCCUGACUUCUAGGAAUCUUGAUUGGCUUCCCCCUGGGCUCAGAAACUGGUUUAUAAUUUGCUCCAAUCAUUAACAUUGUUUUUCUAUUUUUGUUUCUCUAGAAAAACUUCUUAUUAAAUACCUGGUUACUUAGUUACAUGAUACAGGCCUAACUUCAGAAGCCCACCAGCAUCACUGCCUUAUUAAAAGACUGGUUCAAUGAGAUGAAAUGACCUACGCCCCAUUUCAGCAAAUCCACUAUACUCCAUGGAGACAGACACCGUCAAGGACAAGCACCUGGACUAUCUCCUC